ensembl:lncRNA
UAACUGCUGGCAGUAACCGAGCUUAAAGGGAUACUCCACCCAAAAAAUUAAAAAAGUCUGUAAUCAUACACACACUCUCAUGCUGUCCCAGAUGUAUAUGACUUUCUUUAUUCUGUGUAACUUAAACAGAGAUUUUCAGAGAAAUAAUUAAUCUGUGUAUCUAUAUAUUGCCAGUGGAUGGGUCUCUUAAAGUUUUAAAAACCAUAAAGAAAGAAAGUCAUCUGGGACAGCAACAGGGUGAGUAAAUGAUAAGGUACAUUUUUUUUUUUUUCAUUUUUGGGUGAAGUAUCCCUUUAAUCCAGCAAUGGCUUACUAAAUGGACUAAUGGUAACGUGUCUCCUAACAGUGCUCUGCACACACAGCAGUGUAAGUCAGUGAGAGGAUUUUUACAGAGCUGAUCUGGUCCAUUGAGAGAAGUCGCUCUAAGAUGACACAGUUAAUAAGAAAUCAAGAAAAGGCUGCAGUGAGUCAGGCUGAAGAAUUCUUAAAGCAUCUAGAGAAGAAGAUUGCUGAUCUGAGAAGGAAAGAAACUGAGCUAGAGAAGCUUUCAAAUGCUGAGGACAUCUGCUUCCUCCAGAUUGCAGCAACUUUACUCUGGAUCCAAACACAGUCACUAAAAACCUUUGUCUGUCUGAGGCGAAACAGAAUGGCUAUUCACAUGAAUAUAUUCCAGAAGUGUCCUGAUCAUCCAGACAGAUUUGAUUAUUCGGAGCAGGUGUUGUGUAGAGAGAGAGUGUGUGAACAACUCCAGGGAAGUUGAGUGGAUCAGGAGUAUGGGUAUAUCAGUAGCAUAUAAGAGCAUUACCAGGAAAGGAGCAGGUAAUGCAUGUUUGUUUGGAUGUAAUGACCAGUCCUGGAAACUGUCCUGUAAUCCCUGGAGUUGUUCAUUUUCACAAUAACAGAGAGAUAAAACUGCCUCUAGAGUCCAGCUCAUGUAUGGGAGUGUAUGUCCUGGGUUCAGGGUUAUUGAGGAAUCAUCAGUGAAACUCCGUGAUCUGUAAAUAUUAAGAUUGUGAAAGUCAGGUUAAAGGGAUAGUUCACCCAAAAAUUUAAAUUUUAUGUUUAUCUGCUUACCCCCAGGGCAUCCAAGAUGUAGGUGACUUUGCUUCUUCAUUAUAACACAAAUUAAGAUUUUUAACUCCAACCAUUGCAGACUCUCAGUCAUAUAAUGCAUGGCAAUGGUAACAAAAUCUAUGAGAGUAAAAAAAACAUGCACAGACAAAUCCAAAUUAAACCCUGUGGCUCGUGACGAUACAUUAAUGUGUAAAGACACAAAACGAUCAGUCUGUGCAAGAAACUGAACAGUAUUUCUAUUGUUUUUUACCUCUGAUUCACGCAAUGUCCAAACUCUUAGAACUCUUGUGAAUGCACAUUCACAGCAGCAGGUGCCUGAGGCGUCUUCUUCUUCUUCUUCUUGCUUUAUGGUGGAUCACAGACUUAUAAGUGCAUUACUGCCAUCUAUCUCUCAAGUGGACCAUUGACACUACUAAUUGAGAUUGUACAUAGAGUGUAUAUGGUCCAUAUGAGAGAUAGGUGGCUCUCAUAGUAUAUCAAGGCAGAAAUCAUUAGCCAGAACAUUAAAUAUUUGAUCAAAUAAAGUACAUCACAACCUUGAGGAAACA